CAGUCUCCCCUUCUUCUCCCCUCCCUCACUCCCUGCAUGAAAGCAACUGCAAAGAAUCAUUUCGAGCCUUUUUUCCUGGGUUACCCGUGCAGAUGCCAUAGCACAGCAAGCAUGGAGCCCACUCAGCUCACCACUGCUGUUGUGAGCAUUGUAAACACCUCACGCGUUAUACUGCAGUUUGUGAAGAACCUGGAUAAGAGACAGCAGCACGAGGAGGAUUGUGAGGAGGACAAGGACACAGACGUUCCUGAAAGCACGGGCUGUGGCAAUUGGGACAUCAUGGCAGCAGUGGGGCUGGUUGAUACAGUGGAAUGCCGAUUCUUGGCCCGGCAAACAAGCACAGACU